rnacentral:rRNA from 1 species
UACGAAGGGAGCUAGCGUUGUUCGGAAUUACUGGGCGUAAAGCGCACGUAGGCGGGCUGAUCAGUCAGGGGUGAAAUCCCGAGGCUCAACCUCGGAACUGCCUUUGAUACUGUUAGUCUUGAGAUCGUGAGAGGUGAGUGGAAUUCCUAGUGUAGAGGUGAAAUUCGUAGAUAUUAGGAAGAACACCAGUGGCGAAGGCGUCUCACUGGCCCGAUACUGACGCUGAGGUGCGAAAGCGUGGGGAGCAAACAGG